CUUGAAGUCUUGUAAUUGGAAUGAUGGGAAUUUAAACCCCUUCCAGAGUAUCAAUUGGAGGGCAAGUCUGGUGCCAGCAGCCGCGGUAAUUCCAGCUCCAAUAGCGUAUAUUAAACUUGUUGCAGUUAAAAAGCUCGUAGUUGAAUUUCUGCUGUUUCGUUGACUGCGUUUGGCGUUUGUCAUCGUUGCGGCUUGGUUGGGUUUCGAUUAUUCGUUUCCCGGCGUUUACUUUGAGAAAAUUAGAGUGCUUGAAGCAGGCUUUUGCCUUGAAUACUUUAGCAUGGAAUAACGGAGUAGGAC
rnacentral:rRNA from 1 species